GUACACUAAUUUUGAUCAGAGGCCUAUUCCCUAUAUAGUGCACUAAUUUUGAUCAGAGGCCUGUGAGGAAUAGGGGGCCAAUUGGGACGCAGACUGUAUGUGAAACUGAUCAGUUUUUAAAUGUUUCUGCGGUUCUUAUUGGUUGUCUGAUUCUCUGACCAUGUCUGUGGUUGUUAUGGUUACCGUCUGAUCCAGUUCAUACAGACUGUUUUGGUUGUUGUUUCUUUGUUCUGUUUAUCUCUCUCUCUUUUUGUGGUUUAACUGUCUGUGGUCAGGUUCUGGCCAAUCAGAUGGGUCCGUGGUCAGGUUCUGGCCAAUCAGAUGGGUCAGGUUCUGGCCAAUCAGAUGGGUCAGGUUCUGGCCAAUCAGAUGGGUCAGGUUCUGGCCAAUCAGAUGGGUCAGGUUCUGGCCAAUCAGAUGGGUCCGGGGUCAGGUUCUGGCCAAUCAGAUGGGUCCGGGUUCUGCCAAUCAGAUGGGUCCGUGGUCAGGUUCUGGCCAAUCAGAUGGGUCCGUGGUCAGGUUCUGGCCAAUCAGAUGGGUCCGUGGUCAGGUUCUGGCCAAUCAGAUGGGUCCGUGGUCAGGUUCUGGCCAAUCAGAUGGGUCCGUGGUCAGGUUCUGGCCAAUCAGAUGGGUCCGUGGUCAGGUUCUGGCCAAUCAGAUGGGUCCGUGGUCAAUCAGAUGGGUCCGUGGUCAGGUUCUGGCCAAUCAGAUGGGUCUGUGGUGGUGUUGUGACUACUGCUGUCUAACUCCUCCUGGAGGACCCCUGGUGUUUCUGAUAGUUUAACUUCCGUCCGGGAUUCAAUCAAAGGCGCAUUGUGGAUUAUGAGCAAACCAAACUAGACUGUUCAAUCAAAUGUUCAGCUGACAUCCGCAGCGUUUACCAUGACAACCAGAGGAAUGAGCUGGUUAACGGUGCGACGUGGUCAGUGCACCUUUAGGUUGAAUCCCAGCCGUCUCAUUCAGACCUGGGACACCAAAUCAUGUAUCAAUUACAUGUCCCAAAAUGGCACCCUAUUCCCUAUAUAGUCCCCUACCUU
ensembl:lncRNA